UUGGAUACCUAUGCAGGCAGACCUAUAGGACAACUGCUGGAAAAUUAAAGGGAUAUUUUUAUCCUAAGUUUACAAGUGGAUCCCUUCUGUUGGACUUCACUGAUACUUUGAAAAACUGAGGAAAUGCCAACCCAAUGAGCCAAGAAAAAUGAAUGAAAUAUAUAUCUACAUGCUGGAGAAGAAUAUAAUUCAUUAGGUGGCCUAUAAUAAGGAAUCCCAAUAAACGCUAUCAUAUUCUGGGAAUAAUUUUCUUCAAGUUUUUUCAACUUGGUAAUAAAUAUUUUUCAGUACAACUUUGGUUCAAUUAGAACUUCAUACCUUUUGAAUACUACAGUUAUUCCAAUAUAAACAGAGAGCUGUUAUUUAGAAGUGAGUACAAUUAUACUGAUGGGUCAAUUGUCUGGCUUACUGAUUAUGGAGUGAUUCAGCAGACAACUAUUAUCAUAAUGUGU